rnacentral:lncRNA from 10 species
GAGAUGAGGGGGCUUCCGAACACCUCCAGGCAUUCUGGAAGUCAUUGAGACUGAAUGCACAGAAGUUUCAGGAACACCAAACCACAGAGUUGUUCUGUCUUACCCAGAAGUGUUCUUCACUGUAAAGUGUAGAAGAGAGAAGGUCAAUUGUUUAGAUAUAGCACUCCUGCACACUACACAGUGCACAUCGGGCGAUCCAGACUCAGAUUCUGGCAGAGCAG